AAAUGCAAUUGCUUGUUCAGCUGAUGACGAUGACAUGAAAAAUGGGUCAAAGUCUUCACCUUCAUCAUCGAAUGCUGGGGACCGUAUUUGCAUACCCAAGGUUGUUUCAUCUUCAUCAAGUGCAGGACAGCUUGCCUGUGUUCCAUUGUCGGAGGUUGGUGCAAAAAAAACUGAGUAUCAAGGAAUAGAUGUAGAAGGCACAAAUUGGCAUUCAAGCAGUGUAUCAAACUCUUUGGUAGUAGCCUUGGAAUCCAGCCCAACUAUCCCAAUGCAUGAGAUCGAAGAUGACUUCCAAUGAACUGAUGCUUGAUGAUGGACUUGAGCGGUGAGGAAUUUUGAACUUAAAACUCUCCCAGCUUAUGAUGUUCGGGCCUCCUGCCAUGCUUUUGCUUGAAAAUCAAGUGGGGAUACAGCACAGCGGAUGUGUUUAUACUUUAUAGUUUCUCGCCUUCAGAUAAUGGAAGUUUUAAUGGGGAAAUAUGAAAAUUCUUGCAAGAUAUUGUAGAUAUUAUUAUAAUUCUCACUCGAAUAACGGAGCACUUUAGCAUGUUUUUGAUGUGCCAUUUUACUUUCUAUUAUUAUUAUUCAAAUGUUGUUGAUUUUUGAGACA